rnacentral:rRNA from 1 species
AUUGAACGCUGGCGGCAUGCCUUACACAUGCAAGUCGAACGGUAACAGGUCUUCGGAUGCUGACGAGUGGCGAACGGGUGAGUAAUACAUCGGAACGUGCCUAGUAGUGGGGGAUAACUACUCGAAAGAGUGGCUAAUACCGCAUGAGAUCUACGGAUGAAAGCAGGGGAUCGAAAGACCUUGUGCUACCAGAGCGGCCGAUGGCAGAUUAGGUAGUUGGUGGGAUAAAAGCUUACCAAGCCGACGAUCUGUAGCUGGUCUGAGAGGACGAUCAGACACACUGGGACUGAGACACGGCCCAGACUCCUACGGGAGGCAGCAGUGGGGAAUUUUGGACAAUGGGCGAAAGCCUGAUCCAGCAAUGCCGCGUGCAGGAUGAAGGCCUUCGGGUUGUAAACUGCUUUUGUACGGAACGAAAAGCCCCGGGUUAAUACCCUGGGGUCAUGACGGUACCGUAAGAAUAAGCACCGGCUAACUACGUGCCAGCCGCCGCCGUAA